rfam:Klebsormidium nitens mitochondrial DNA, contig: KFL_3731.
GCCUACGUAGCCCAGUGGUAGAGCGCUCCCUUGGUAAGAGAGAGAGAACUGGUUCAAUUCCAGUCAUAGGCU